UGUAACAAAGAGCUUGAGCUAUCUGCUGCUAGACCUAAGUCUCAACAGAACUGACGUAGGAAUGUUUCAUCAUUUAUUGUCGCAAGUUAAUAACUCAAAGGAGCUUAAGGUUUUGGUGAGAUUUGCAUCUAUCAGCUUAUCAAUUAAUAUU